rnacentral:rRNA from 1 species
UACGUAGGGUGCGAGCGUUUGUCCGGAAUUAUUGGGCGUAAAGAGCUUGUAGGCGGUCUGUCGCGUCUGCUGUGAAAAUCCGGGGCUCAACCCGGACUUGCAGUGGGUACGGGCAGACUAGAGUGUGGUAGGGGAGACUGGAAUUCCUGGUGUAGCGGUGAAAUGCGCAGAUAUCAGGAGGAACACCGAUGGCGAAGGCAGGUCUCUGGGCCUUACCUGACGCUGAGGAGCGAAAGCGUGGGGAGCGAACAGG